GAUUAACGCUAGCGGCAGGCCUAAUACAUGCAAGUCGCACGGGAUUCAGGGUAGCAAUAUCUUGAUGAGAGUGGCGCACGGGUGCGUAACACGUAUGCAAUCUACCUUUAACUGGGGAAUAGCUCACCGAAAGGUGAAUUAAUACCGCAUAAAAUCACAGAAGGACAUCCUUUAAUGAUUAAACCUACGGGGGUUAAAGAUGAGCAUGCGUCCGAUUAGCUAGUUGGCGGGGUAAUAGCCCACCAAGGCAACGAUCGGUAGGGGGUCUGAGAGGAUGAUCCCCCACACUGGUACUGAGAUACGGACCAGACUCCUACGGGAGGCAGCAGUAAGGAAUAUUGGACAAUGGAGGCAACUCUGAUCCAGCCAUGCCGCGUGAAGGAUUAAGGCCCUAUGGGUACGUUAAACUUCUUUUACAGGAGAACCAAAACCCCCUCUACGUGUAGAGGGCUGAUGGUACUCUGAG
rnacentral:rRNA from 1 species